CAGUGUAUUAACAGUCACUCUGGUUACAGGAUCUCUGCUCAUGUUAACCAUUUUAUAAUGAACACACCCAGAGACGCCCUACCCAUGGGUGGAGACAGAGAGAGAAUGAGAGAGAGAAAAUCAACACAGGAUGUCAUCUAAGCCAUCAAUAAAGGAGGACGGCCUGCCUGCUCUGUGUGCGGGGGACCAGAACCGGCUGCUCUCACCUGCUGAUGAUGCCCUUCAUCUGGAUGUCCUUG